rnacentral:rRNA from 1 species
AGGACGAACGCUGGCGGCGUGCUUAACACAUGCAAGUCGAGCGGUAAGGCCUUUCGGGGUACACGAGCGGCGAACGGGUGAGUAACACGUGGGUGAUCUGCCCUGCACUUCGGGAUAAGCCUGGGAAACUGGGUCUAAUACCGGAUAUGACUUCAGGUUGCAUGACUUGGGGUGGAAAGAUUUAUCGGUGCAGGAUGGGCCCGCGGCCUAUCAGCUUGUUGGUGGGGUAAUGGCCUACCAAGGCGACGACGGGU